rnacentral:rRNA from 1 species
GAUGGGAGCUUGCUCCCUGAUGUUAGCGGCGGACGGGUGAGUAACACGUGGGUAACCUGCCUGUAAGACUGGGAUAACUCCGGGAAACCGGGGCUAAUACCGGAUGCUUGAUUGAACCGCAUGGUUCAAUUAUAAAAGGUGGCUUUUAGCUACCACUUACAGAUGGACCCGCGGCGCAUUAGCUAGUUGGUGAGGUAACGGCUCACCAAGGCAACGAUGCGUAGCCGACCUGAGAGGGUGAUCGGCCACACUGGGACUGAGACACGGCCCAGACUCCUACGGGAGGCAGCAGUAGGGAAUCUUCCGCAAUGGACGAAAGUCUGACGGAGCAACGCCGCGUGAGUGAUGAAGGUUUUCGGAUCGUAAAACUCUGUUGUUAGGGAAGAACAAGUACCGUUCGAAUAGGGCGGUACCUUGACGGUACCUAACCAGAAAGCCACGGCUAACUACGUGCCAGCAGCCGCGGUAAUACGUAGGUGGCAAGCGUUGUCCGGAAUUAUUGGGCGUAAAGCGCGCGCAGGCGGUUUCUUAAGUCUGAUGUGAAAGCCCCCGGCUCAACCGGGGAGGGUCAUUGGAAACUGGGGAACUUGAGUGCAGAAGAGGAGAGUGGAAUUUCCACGUGUAGCGGUGAAAUGCGUAGAGAUGUGGAGGAACACCAGUGGCGAAGGCGACUCUCUGGUCUGUAACUGACGCUGAGGCGCGAAAGCGUGGGGAGCGAACAGGAUUAGAUACCCUGGUAGUCCACGCCGUAAACGAUGAGUGCUAAGUGUUAGAGGGUUUCCGCCCUUUAGUGCUGCAGCAAACGCAUUAAGCACUCCGCCUGGGGAGUACGGUCGCAAGACUGAAACUCAAAGGAAUUGACGGGGGCCCGCACAAGCGGUGGAGCAUGUGGUUUAAUUCGAAGCAACGCGAAGAACCUUACCAGGUCUUGACAUCCUCUGACAACCCUAGAGAUAGGGCUUCCCCUUCGGGGGCAGAGUGACAGGUGGUGCAUGGUUGUCGUCAGCUCGUGUCGUGAGAUGUUGGGUUAAGUCCCGCAACGAGCGCAACCCUUGAUCUUAGUUGCCAGCAUUCAGU